GUUUCGAAUCAUUCACAAUGGGCGAAAGCCUGAUGGUGCGACGCCGCGUGAGGGAUGAAGGUCUUCGGAUUGUAAACCUCUGUCACUGGGGAGAAAACGCUUCAGGUAAACAGCCUGAAGCCUGAUUUAACCCGGAGAGGAAGCAGUGGCUAACUCUGUGCCAGCAGCCGCGGUAAUACAGAGACUGCAAGCGUUAUUCGGAUUCACUGGGCGUAAAGGGUGCGCAGGCGGCCGUGUGUGUCAGAUGUGAAAUCCCGGGGCUCAACCCCGGAACUGCGUCUGAAACUACAUGGCUAGAGUAUUGGAGAGGGUAGCGGAAUUCACGGUGUAGCAGUGAAAUGCGUAGAUAUCGUGAGGAACACCAGAGGCGAAGGCGGCUACCUGGACAAUUACUGACGCUCAGGCACGAAAGCGUGGGGAGCAAAAGGGAUUAGAAACCCUGGUAGUCC
rnacentral:rRNA from 1 species